GAUCCUGGCUCAGGAUGAACGCUAGCUACAGGCUUAACACAUGCAAGUCGAGGGGAAACGACAUUGGAAGCUUGCUUCCGAUGGGCGUCGACCGGCGCACGGGUGAGUAACGCGUAUCCAACCUGCCCACCACUUGGGGAUAACCUUGCGAAAGUAAGACUAAUACCCAAUGACGUCCAUAGAAGACAUCUGAAGUGGAUUAAAGAUUUAUCGGUGAUGGAUGGGGAUGCGUCUGAUUAGCUUGUUGGCGGGGUAACGGCCCACCAAGGCGACGAUCAGUAGGGGUUCUGAGAGGAAGGUCCCCCACAUUGGAACUGAGACACGGUCCAAACUCCUACGGGAGGCAGCAGUGAGGAAUAUUGGUCAAUGGGCGAGAGCCUGAACCAGCCAAGUAGCGUGCAGGAUGACGGCCCUAUGGGUUGUAAACUGCUUUUAUAAGGGAAUAAAGUGGAGGUCGUGACCUCUUUUGCAUGUACCUUAUGAAUAAGGACCGGCUAAUUCCGUG
rnacentral:rRNA from 1 species